rnacentral:rRNA from 1 species
UACAGAGGGGGCAAGCGUUGUUCGGAAUUACUGGGCGUAAAGGGCGCGUAGGUGGCCUGCUAAGUCGAACGUGAAAUCCCUGGGCUCAACCCAGGAACUGCGUCCGAUACUGGUUGGCUUGAAUCCGGGAGAGGGAUGUGGAAUUCCAGGUGUAGCGGUGAAAUGCGUAGAUAUCAGGAGGAACACCGGUGGCGAAGGCGGUUCUCUGGGCACGUCCUGACGCUGAGGAGCGAAAGCGUGGGGAGCGAACAGG